AUUUGCCAAAGCAAGUGGCUUGGAUCCUAGCCAUGAGCAAGGUUUUCAUGUAUCCAGAGCUACUUCCAGUGUGUUCUCUGAAGGCCAAGAAUCCCCAAGAUAAGAAUUUCUUCACCAAGGCAGAGGACAGUUUGUUAGCUUUAGGCCUGAAGCACUUUGAAGGGAUUCAUUUUCCUAAGCCUCUGAUCAGCAAGUACCUUCUCACUUGCAAGACUGCCCACCAGCUGACAGAAUUAAGAACCUCAUAAUGAACAGAGCUCCUGACAACAUCAUUAAAAUUUGGGCCUCCUCUAUUAAACUGAAACCAUGGAAGAUGAAGACAGUUCUCCCCACACUCUCACUGCUUCACCU